AAGUUAAGUUGGCAUCAUCUCUGGGUCAUUUUAUUAAGUACUGUUCAUCUAGGCAUUAUUGCCAAUAUCCACUUUUUCUCCCCAAAGUAGUAGUUAUGUACCGAAGAAAAGCCACUGAGAUUUAUGGUAGGAGAAGAAAAGCAUAGGCUAGCCUACAGGGAGUAGCAGCAUCUUCUUUUUCUAAAACUCCAUCUGCAUUAUUUUGAAACUUUGAAACUUUUGAGAAUUUUUCCCCCAAAGGGGUUGUGAAGCAGUGGAACAGACUGCCCAGGGAAGCAGUGGAGUUAUCAUCCCUAGAGGUUUUAAAAAGCCUUGUGGUGCAGAGUGAGAUGAUUUAGACUGGGACUUGGCAGUGCUGAGUUAAUUGUUGGACUUUAUGACCUUCAAAGUCUUUUUCCAACCUAAAUGAUCCAUGAAAUGUCGUUUUAAAUGGCUUAAAAAUAUCCUUCAUUUCUCAGUUGUAAAAGAGAUGGAUUCCAUGUAGAUUUGUCCUUCCUUCAAGCAGCAUUGCUUUCAAGACAAUUGCUUUCAAAACAAUUCCAUUGUUUUCAAGCACGGCAAAGGAAAAAAAAAAACAAAAUAAAAAUAAUAGUUCGAACAUUACUGAAGGCAGCUCACUCAUCCAGAAAUCGGCUAUAAAAGCCCCAUUUAGUACAAGAACCACAGUGUGUUAGCAAGAACGCUAUUGAGCUUCAAAGCUUAACAAUCAGAUAGCUGAUAGUUACUGAGGUGCCUCAGCAGGAAGUAGAUGCCAUAUUCAGAGACAGAUUUCCCAGAUUUAGGAAAAGGAAAGUCCACACUACAGCCUUCAUAGUUGUAGUUCUGUACUUCCUGUGAAACAAGGCCUUUUCUCCACUGGAAACAUUUUACUGGAGCUGUGCUCAUUCAGAACAGGGUUCAUGUCAGUCUUCUCUGGGAGCUAUUUUCAGCAAUAACCUGCUAGCUUUAGAGUCUCUGCUUUAUUCUAAGUGUAAUCCUGUUGCUUUAAACACUAGCAAGUCCUGCAAAAAUCAUAUUUGAAAACAGGAAAUUGAGUUGUAAGUGGUGUGUAAUAAGGGCAUAGGACAUAAAAACAAAAGAUGUUUCCUUGCACUCUUCCUACACAAUUUGUAUUCUUUAAAUGGUCAACCCAUUCACUCUUCUUCCUAUUUGUAAGGUGAAGAAGGGGUGAAUUAAUCAGCAUUUUAGUGGCUGAAGAAUGUAUCAGCAGGUCUCUAACCUGGAACACAGAUGUGUUGGAUACAAAGCAUGUUAAUUUCAGGAAAAUCCAGUUAGGCAUGUGUGGAAUCCACUCUUUUCAUCUCAAUUAGGAACUUCCUGCAGAGCAUAUUUGAAAUCCAGCAAAGGGCUUGAACCUGGUACCUCUGCAUUUUAUAUGCUUCCUCUAAAACCAUUCAGCCAUUAGUUACCAUCUUUUGAAGAUAGCUGAAAUACAACUUUUAAGUACUCUCAAAGGUUCAGAAUUGUAAUUCCGUCUCUAAAAAAUAGAGAUUGAAACCAUACCUAUUCAAAUCCUUAACAAAUCUUUCACUGGGAGAACAGCUGGGGUUGCAACACUCUCCCAACUGAGGACAAAAAGAAGAUGGAGCAAACAUAGCUUAGCUACACUUAAGGAGUUGGUCCUCUCAGCUCAAAGCCUGCUAGCACUUCACUGGCCAAUGAGUAAAGAAAUGACUUUUUGUGAAGGCAAAAAGCAUAGGAAGGUUCAGCCUAUUAGCAACACAUGGCAUCAGCUUAGCAUAACACCACCGUUUGCAUGUAGCAACUUUAUUGGCAGAAAAAUAGGGUUUUUUCUUAUUUCCUGUGAUGUAGCUACUUAAUACUGUAAUUACUGAACUGGAAGUUCACAUCAGCAAUUAGCAGAAAAAAAAAAAAAAAAAAAAA
rnacentral:lncRNA from 1 species